rnacentral:lncRNA from 1 species
GCAGCUCUUUCCUUCUGGAAUGAAUUGUUUGCCGGAUAUUUCUGAGACUCUCAGGAAUUUAAACUGUUCCACCCUCUCUGCUCCACCCAGAUCCAGGCCCAGUUAUCUUCACUGUGAGCCCCUGGGACUCCUCUUCCCUGCUCAGGAUGCGCUCAGCUCUGAUCAGGGUGUUGUCUUCAUCUUUUGGGGAUGCCCCUAGCACACUGGAUCUGUUGGUCACAUGGCCCGAGAAACAGAAUACCUGGAACCACAGCUUGGAUUUGCUGCCCACACUCAACACUGGUGGCUUUCUGAGGCAUCAGGGAACUGGGAGAGAAGUUUAUACUAUGUUGUCUUCAAAAUCUAAAGAAACUGCAGCAUGAUGUCUCUCUUUAAAAAAAAUUUAUAUGAUAGUUUUAUUGUUCAGAUAAUAUAUAAGAUAGUAUUAUGGAUUAGUAUUUCUCAAAUAAAAGAAUAUGAUCUCUCUUUUACAUUUAUUUUAUUUUAUUUUUUAAUUUUUAUUCUGGGUUCAGGGAUACAUGUGCAGGUUUGCUAUAUAGAUAUGCUAAGUAAAGGUAAACUUCUUUGGUCUCACUCUACUGAUGGAUUGCCUGAGGCCGUGUUGAUCUGCCCCAGUAAAGCUCCAUAUCCGGUGGCAUGUGCCUGUAGUCCCAGCUACUUGGAAAGUGAGAGAAUCACUUGAGCCUAGAAGUCCAAGGGUUCAGCCCAGGUAACAGUUAGACCUUAUCU